GACGAACGCUGGCGGCGUGCCUAAUACAUGCAAGUAGAACGCUGAAGAGAGGAGCUUACUCUUCUUGGAUGAGUUGCGAACGGGUGAGUAACGCGUAGGUAACCUGCCUUGUAGCGGGGGAUAACUAUUGGAAACGAUAGCUAAUACCGCAUAACAAUGGAUGACACAUGUCAUUUAUUUGAAAGGGGCAAUUGCUCCACUACAAGAUGGACCUGCGUUGUAUUAGCUAGUAGGUGAGGUAAUGGCUCACCUAGGCGACGAUACAUAGCCGACCUGAGAGGGUGAUCGGUCACACUGGGACUGAGACACGGCCCAGACUCCUACGGGAGGCAGCAGUAGGGAAUCUUCGGCAAUGGGGGCAACCCUGACCGAGCAACGCCGCGUGAGUGAAGAAGGUUUUCGGAUCGUAAAGCUCUGUUGUAAGUCAAGAACGGGUGUGAGAGUGGAAAGUUCACACUGUGACGGUAGCUUACCAGAAAGGGACGGCUAACUACGUG
rnacentral:rRNA from 1 species